AGUGAACGCUGGCGGUAGGCCUAACACAUGCAAGUCGAACGGCAGCACAGUAAGAGCUUGCUCUUACUGGUGGCGAGUGGCGGACGGGUGAGGAAUACAUCGGAAUCUACUUUUUCGUGGGGGAUAACGUAGGGAAACUUACGCUAAUACCUCAUACGACCUACGGGUGAAAGCAGGGGAUCUUCGGACCUUGCGCGAUUGAAUGAGCCGAUGUCGGAUUAGCUAGUUGGCGGGGUAAAGGCCCACCAAGGCGACGAUCCGUAGCUGGUCUGAGAGGAUGAUCAGCCACACUGGAACUGAGACACGGUCCAGACUCCUACGGGAGGCAGCAGUGGGGAAUAUUGGACAAUGGGCGAAAGCCUGAUCCAGCCAUACCGCGUGAGUGAAGAAGGCCUUCGGGUUGUAAAGCCCUUUAGUUGGGAAAGAAAAGCAGCAGGUGAAUACCCCGAUGUUCUGACGGUACCCAAAGAAUAAGCACCGGCUAACUUCGUG
rnacentral:rRNA from 1 species